rnacentral:rRNA from 1 species
GGACUGUAACUGACGGCUGAGGAAAAGCGUGGGGAGCAAAAGGAUUAGAUAGGUAGUCCACGCCGUAAACGAUGAGUACUAGGUGUCGGGGGUUACCCCCCUCGGUGCCGCAGCUAACGCAUUAAGUACUCCGCCUGGGAAGUACGCUCGCAAGAGUGAGACUCAAAGGAAUUGACGGGGACCCGCACAAGUAGCGGAGCAUGUGGUUUAAUUCGAAGCAACGCGAAGAACCUUACCUAAGCUUGACAUCCCACUGACCUCUCCCUAAUCGGAGAUUUCCCUUCGGGGACAGUGGUGACAGGUGGUGCAUGGUUGUCGUCAGCUCGUGUCGUGAGAUGUUGGGUUAAGUCCCGCAACGAGCGCAACCCUUGCCUUUAGUUGCCAGCAUUAAGUUGGGCACUCUAGAGGGACUGCCGAGGAUAACUCGGAGGAAGGUGGGGAUGACGUCAAAUCAUCAUGCCCCUUAUGCUUAGGGCUACACACGUGCUACAAUGGGUGGUACAGAGGGUUGCCAAGCCGCGAGGUGGAGCUAAUCCCUUAAAGCCAUUCUCAGUUCGGAUUGUAGGCUGAAACUCGCCUACAUGAAGCUGGAGUUACUAGUAAUCGCAGAUCAGAAUGCUGCGGUGAAUGCGUUCCCGGGUCUUGUACACACCGCCCGUCACACCACGGGAGUUGGGGGCGCCCGAAGCCGGUUAGCUAACCUUUUAGGAAGCGGCCGUCGAAGGUGAAACCAAUAACUGGGGUGAAGUCGUAACAAGGUAGCCGUAAUCUAG